CCUACGGGUGGCUGCAGUGGGGGAUAUUGCACAAUGGAGGAAACUCUGAUGCAGCGACGCCGCGUGAGGGAAGACGGUCUUCGGAUUGUAAACCUCUGUCUUUGGGGAAGAAAAUGACGGUACCCAAAGAGGAAGCUCCGGCUAACUACGUGCCAGCAGCCGCGGUAAUACGUAGGGAGCGAGCGUUGUCCGGAUUUAUUGGGUUUAAAGGGUGCGCAGGCGGCCUGUUAAGUCAGCGGUAAAAGCCCGGGGCUCAACCCCGGCGAGCCGUUGAAACUGGCGGGCUGGAGUUGGAGAGAAGUACGCGGAAUGCGCGGUGUAGCGGUGAAAUGCUUAGAUAUCGCGCAGAACCCCGAUUGCGAAGGCAGCGUACCGGCUCCACACUGACGCUGAGGCACGAAAGCGUGGGUAUCGAACAGGAUUAGAUACCCCAGUAGUC
rnacentral:rRNA from 1 species